UACGGAGGGGGCUAGCGUUGUUCGGAAUUACUGGGCGUAAAGCGUGCGCAGGCGGCUAUGCAAGACAGAUGUGAAAUCCCCGGGCUCAACCUGGGAACUGCAUUUGUGACUGCAUGGCUAGAGUACGGCAGAGGGGGAUGGAAUUCCGCGUGUAGCAGUGAAAUGCGUAGAUAUGCGGAGGAACACCGAUGGCGAAGGCAAUCCCCUGGGCCUGUACUGACGCUCAUGCACGAAAGCGUGGGGAGCAAACAGG
rnacentral:rRNA from 1 species